AUGAGUGGUUCCUUCUUUUGUGAUUCAGUAGCAACUUGUGUGUGCUUCUCUUUGAUCACUUUACUAGUUCUUUCUCAUUGUGGUAAUUUGUUUACAUGGCCCUCUUCCCAGGCUCCAAAAGUAGACUCUGUUUUAUUCCUUUUUUUAUUUCCAGUGCCUGGCCAAGUGCCCAGCAUUGGGAGGUGUUCGGUGUAUUGUUUGGGAAGCCAUAUUUUCUGGCACUGGAAUCAAGGCACCUGGGUGCCCAUGGGACCAUCAACCAUGCUGGGGAGAACACUGCUAAAUGCUCCACAAAAUCACAUCUGUGAAGAAGGAAGAUUGAUGGUGGCCCCUGCACGAGGCACAGACAAGACCUGUCAUAGUUGUCAUGUGGUUAUGGCCUACACCCUGUAA
rnacentral:lncRNA from 1 species